ACUCUAUGAUAAUCCUAUCUUGAACCUGAAUUCCUGUUGAAAAACCACAACUAUGGAUCAGGCUUCUGAGAU